rnacentral:rRNA from 1 species
UACAGAGGUCUCAAGCGUUGUUCGGAUUCAUUGGGCGUAAAGGGUGCGUAGGUGGCCAACUAAGUCAGACGUGAAAUCCCUCGGCUUAACCGGGGAACUGCGUCUGAUACUGGAUGGCUUGAGAUUGGGAGAGGGAUGCGGAAUUCCAGGUGUAGCGGUGAAAUGCGUAGAUAUCUGGAGGAACACCGGUGGCGAAGGCGGCAUCCUGGACCAACACUGACGCUGAGGAGCGAAAGCCAGGGGAGCAAACGGG